GCUGGAGUGAGCAAUUCAACUUGUGGAGGAUUGAGAAGUGACAGUGUUGAGACAAGCAACAUAAAACUCCAGGCCCGAAAAGAAUGGCAUGCAGCCUCUCCUGCUCCUCCUGCCGCCUCUCCUGUACCAACAGCUUCUCCACCCAAGCCUGGGUGCUCCUGGGGAGUCCUGCAUUAGAGGAAGCAGCUGCUGGAUCUACUGUGCAGUGGGGUUGUCAUGGGGGAGAACCCUCCCUGUCCUCUCCCGGUGCAGCCUCCAUGCUAUCAGUGAGGCUCACUAAGAUCUUCAGAGAGAGGGAGGGGGGUGGGAAUCUGAGCACAGUGCGAGCCUCCCCUGCUCCUGCCUGCCCACCCCGCCUGAGGGCUCUACUCAUCACUCUGCUUGUCCGCACACCCAAGCUCCUGUGGGACUGGUGCUCAGAUACUGGUCUGGCUGCUGCUGCAGACUGGGAGCCUCUUGGCUCUUCAGCUCCACCUGCCGGAAGACCCUGGGCAUGAGGACAUGUGGUGGCUGGCUUCCAGAUUCCUGGCCCAUUAAUAGGGUAGCGAGGGCACUGUGGGGCUCUGUGGCCUGCCCAGGCCCCUGGCCCCUUGCUCCAGGCCUAAGAGACUGGCUCCCUUGCCUAGAACCCCAUGCCUCCUUCCCUAGCAUCAAAUCUCACGUCCUUUUUCCCAGCAUUUAAACUGUAGGCCACAGACUGGUGGAAAAGCAGGCGGAGCCAACCACCAUCUGCUAAGUGUGCUACAUGCCUAAUGUUUCCACGUAUUAUCUCAUUUAAUCCUCAGGACCUCUGCAAGGAAAAGGCUAACUUCCUUUUGAAGUUAAAGAAACAGAGACUUAGAGAUGCAAAGUAGUUGAAUUAUGACCAGUGGAACCGAGGCCGGAAUCCAGUUUGAAUCUAAGGAGUCUUUUUUGUUUUUCUGUUUUGUUUUGUUUUGUUUUGAGAGAGUGUCACUCUGUGUCCCAGGCUGCAGUGCAGUGGUGCAAUCUCAGCUCACUGCAACCUUCACCUCCCGGGCUCAAGUGAUUCUCGUGUCUCAGCCUCCCGAGUAGCUGGGAUUACAGGCAUGCACCACCAGGCCCGGCUAAUUAUUAUUAUUAUUUUUAAUUUUAGUAGAGAUGAGCUUUCACCAUGUUGGCCUCAAACUCCUGACCUCAAGUGAUUGUCCUGCUUCAGACUCCCAAAGUGCUGGGAUUGCAGGCGUGAGCCACUACACCCGACAUAAGGAGCCUCUUAUACCACUGUCUCUUCCUCUGUGAUUGGGGGGCUCCAUGCCUCUAGCUGGGAUGAUGAUGUCCAGACCUGGGAGGACCCCAGGGCUACCCACCUCUAAAAGUCAGAGGGCAGGAAGCAAGAAACAGUCAUAGGACUGCCCCGGAGGGUGCUGGGGUCACCUGUCCCCAGGCUGCAGCUGCCUGUGGCCUGGCACCUCCCCUCCCCAGAGGCUGGUGCCCGCCUCCCACAUCUUCUUGGAUGGGUCGGAGGUUACAGUCUCUUUCAGCUCACCCGACUUCUUCAGCUCCUUUACUUGCUGCUCCAACUGCAGUGUGCUCUUGUUCUCGUUGUUCUGGACAGAGAGAAGCAAUCAGUGGCCACCCACUAAAACUGGAGACCCCAGAACUUAGUGUCUGCCUCCCAUGGCACCGGGAAGGGUGGAGGCAGGUUAGAAAAAUAUCCCCUCUCUCCCACAGCCAUCAGAGCAGGGCUCUGGCUCACAGAUGCCUUUAGAAGUACCAUUUCAUGUGAAGGCUACAAUGCCCCAUUUUACAGGUGGGGAAACAAAGGCCUUGAGGGUUAGGGAAGAGGGCAGCCUCCCCAGGUGGAACGCACCAGCUCCUCGAAGCCGCUGCGUGACUCGGCCCGCUGCUCGUAGAGGGCUUCCCACCCCAGCUCCAGCAUCCUCUCCAGCUCCCGCAGCCUCUCCAGCUCCUGCAGAGUCUCCUGCUGCCACAGCCUCUCAUCCUCUUGCCGAAGCCUCUCCUGCUCCAGGAGCUCCUCCACCUCGUCCAGCAGCCUCUCCCUCUCCAGCAGCCUCUCCUGCUCCUCCUGCCGCCUCUCCUGUUCUAACAGCUUCUCCACCUCUUCCAGCAGCCUCUCCUGCCCUGGCAGCUUCUCCCGUUCACACAGCCUCUCCUCCUGUUCACACAGCCUCUCCUCCUGUUCACACAGCCUCUCCUCCUGUUCACGUAGCCUCUCCUCCUGUCUCCUGUUCAGGAGACUCAACAUCUGAUUGUUUUCCACCUCAGCCUGGAGCUGUCUUCCCACACUCUCUAGCUCCUUCCUUAGGUGGUUGGUCUCAUCUUGUAGCUGCUCCACCUUAGAUGGCCCUGCUGGGGGCUCUGGGGCCAGGGGUUCAGCUGAGAAAGGAAGCAGACAAUAAGGGCCUCUAGAGUUAAAAAAAAAAAAAAAAAAAAAUCCUCCCUUCGGUGCACAGCUCCUCCUCUCAGGCUUCCCAAACUUGGCCUCACUGCUAAUGACUCCUCACACCCGGAUGGUAGCCAAUCUUCCAAGUCACUUUCAGAUAGAGAGCACUGUGGGUGGCGGACAAUGGGCACUCCUCCCACUUUACUGAUGGGGACACUGAGGCUCAUGGAGAUGACAAGACUUGUCCUCCCCUGGCACAGACCUCUUUCCCUCUGCCUCAAAGCCCUUCCAUCCACCCACCUCCCUGGGGCAUUCUAAGUCACCCUCACAGCCCUCUAAUGCCAGUCCUGCUGCCAGGUCAUGCCAGCCCCAUCUUACCCGUCUGGUUUUUGAGUUUGAACAAGCUCCUCCCAAGCUUCUGUACCCGAUGUAUCUCAUGCUUCUUCUCCUCCUUAGAUGUGCGAACCUGCCCAAAGCAAAGGGGGAAAAGGGCCCUGGAGGGAGGGGCUGGUGAACCUCUAGAGACAGAGUUUGAGAAAGGCCCACCCCCCUUCUGCCAGUUUGUGAUUUAGAAACGUGCAUUCAUUCAACAAACAUUUACUGAGCAUGUACAGGCCAGGUACAGUUCUUCAUAGCAGAGAUAUAAAACAGCAAAGGACAGACAGGAGCCCUUGGCCCUGAGGUUUCCAUUCUAGGGGCCUUUAAAUCUCUGACUUUCAGAGCUAACCGAGACCUUUGAUACUCUCUGCCUCCUCCAGAAACACGAGCAUAAAGAGGAGAGAUGACUUGUCCAGACUCAAAAAGCAAAUUAGGGACUGAGGCAGAGCAGAAAUAUGGACCCCUGACAACCAGUCAGGCUAGUGCUUCCCGGAAAGGUGACAACCCCAGGGCAUGUGUGGCAAGGACUAGAGCAGGGGUGUCUGGAGAAGAGAGAGUCAGCAAAGAGGGCAGUGCAGAAGAGCCAUGCUGCAUGUUCUGUGCUCUGGGGUCCCUCCAGGCGAGACCUGGGUGCCCAGCUCCCCAUUUGCCCUUGGCAUCAGGGGCCCCUAGCCCCUUUCUUCAGGGCCCCAAGAGGAAACUGGAGUCCGGGAUUGACCAGCUGUAAUCAGGGGACCCCACUGGACUCUUACCAGUGAAUUGAUGUUUUCAGUGAGUUGACUGAUUAUUGCGGAGCUUGAAUCCAGGGCCACUGCUAGUUCUUGGUACUGGCUCUGAGGUGCAUGCAGAGAGAAGGAGUUGGAGGAAGAUUGUGGGGAGGGGUAGAGAGAAUAAUCAUUAGGGCUGGUGGGGGUGUGUGGGCUGCCUCAGCUGGCAGAGGGGCAACAAGCCCCUGCUGUGGGAGGAGGUUGGAGGGCUGGCCUGCAGGGUCACUGCACCUCGGCCCAGGGCCUCUGACCUCCAGAUCCUCCAGGGUAGCAGAGGAUGCACGGCCCUCCCCGUAGAUACCUGUUGCUGACUGCAAGAGAUGAGAGUGCACAUGGAGAUGUUCUGUCCCCCCUCACUGUCUAAGCCCUCUGACUUCCUUUCUUCCUCCAUCAACUGGCAAAAGCUUCUUUUCUGCCUAUCUUGGACCCUUUUUCCCAUAACUCCUUUGUGCCAACUUCUCUCGUGGUUCUUACCUCCCCACCAUCCCACCCUGGGGCCCUUUCAGUGACUCCUAAAGGGACAGCCUGAUGGCAAGUGGCUCUUCUCAUUGGCCUGGCUUCCCCUUGAGACUGGGGAUGAGGAAAAUCAAACAGCAACGACCAUUUCCUCGGUGUCCUGGGUGUUUGCAGCAGGCCAUGUACUAAGGAUUCACAUAAAAGCAACAAUAACGAAUCUCAUUUAAACUUCACAAAUGGAAGUCAAAAAAUACCACCUCUAUUAUACAGAUGUGAAAAGAGAGGCCCAAAGACCUCAAGCAACUUGCCGUAAAUCAUAUGCUAAUCAAUCCCUAAUCAAUCCUUAGCAGACGGAGAGGUAGGAUUCAAAUCCAGAAUUCUUAACCAGUACCCAACAGUCCAUCUACAAUCUUAACAAUUACCCUCUACUGCCCCUUGGGCCCCCUGUCCCCAGGACCCUGGCCCGCCGAGACUCACAUCCCCAGGUGAGUGGUAACCACCAGAAAUGGCUGUGUCAGGGCUACUGCCAUUGAUUUUCUUUUUCCUGUUAGCUCCUGCUGGAAUGCCAGGGCUCUUCCUCUGCCAAUAUGCUUUUAACUGUGGGAAAGAAGAGCAGUAACACUCAUGAGAAUGAUCAGCCCCUACGGCCACAUCCUCCUUUACAGUUUUGACAAAAUACCCUUAUAUACCAUCUGAUGUAAUGCCACCAACAACUGUACAAGGUGUUGUCACAAUCACUUAGUGACUGAGAGGGAUUGAUAUCAUGGAUAGAAAAAAAAAAAGAAAGAUCAAAAAAGGCAAUACUGGAACUUAAACUCAGUCCUCUGACUCCAAGCUCUGGGGUUUUGCCAUGAAUCAGCAGCUGCGAGGGACCAAAACCAGGGGCAGAGGUAGAAAAGUAAACAUGAAGCAGGCAGGAACUGUAGGCCGUGUGGUUUAGAGUCACACAUCCUCACAGGUCUGCUAGCGUGAAGAAGCGCACCAGUACCUCUCACACUUUCAUAUCAAUGUGUCCUCAUGGCAGAAGGCAGCUUUUCUAUUAAAUCCGGGAAUUUAUCAGAAAGAUGACAACCCAAGCCUCAUUUCAGAGCGAAGUCUGGUAUACACUUGGAAACCUAUGUGUCUGUCAUCCCUAAGUACAUUAAUGCAUUUUCUCAAGAGAAUCAAGGGAAAAUGAUGCUUCAGAAAGAUGUCCCACAUUUAUCCUGUGGCACUCAAAGUACCCCAGGUUGAGACGAUAUGAGGAAGAUUCAAGCUGUCAAGUUCAGUUUCCCAAGAUCUAUUCCACAGAAGAUGAGCAAAUCUCACUUCAGAGGCCACUGACUGAAGGGCAGUCUGGUCCCAGAACCGUGGAGAACUCAGAAAAAAAUGUUAAAAUCUCUCUGGAAAGUAGAAGCCUGGGAAAAAACCAAACCAAACCCAUUCUUCCAUUGCCACCCAGAGAUACUGUGAACAUUUUGAGCUCACAGGGGAAGUGUAGGCUUUUCCCACUGUCAAUGUCUAUGUGAAGGGAGUAAGGCAGCCUGAAACCUCUUGCUCCUAGGUCCCAUAGUCUCCACUCCCCUUCCAGCUGGAAAUUUGUGCUGCAACCAGAGGAACCAGAAAUGGGGUGAGAAAACUUAGGGGACUGGGUUGUACGAUCAAAGGCCGGUCUUGCAGCAGUAAUGACAGUUCCUAGGGGCACUGUGACAUCAUUGCAUUCCACUCCUCCCAGGGGAGGGGACCACAUCAGCGCGAAGCCAGAGUCGCUGCUCCACGAUGGGGGAGGGACACACACGGUUUCGUCCCAGGUCCUCAGAGACGCCAGCCCAAGAAGCCUAGGGAGGUCGAGCUUGGGGCAGCAGGAGGGGAGGGCAGAGUCUGCAGUAGGGAGCCCCGGGAGUCACCAGCCCAAAGCCACCUAGGGAUGACUGGUGAGGGCAGGGCCUGGGGCUGGGGGACCCAGGUCCUGGGAGACGCAAGCCCAAAGAGCCCAGGGAGGUUGGGCUUGGGGUGGCAGGAGGUGAGGGCUGAUUAUGGAGCAGGGAGCCCCAGGAGUCACCUGCCCAAAGUCACCCUGGGGUGAUUGGCAAGGGCAAGGACUGGGCUGCUUGCUGAAGGCGUGGGGCUGACUGACUAGGCUUUGGUUGGGGGAGCCCAGAGGGGCUGGGGUUGGGGGGCCCCAUCUGGUAUGCCUCAGGAGUGGUAUGGACUCUGGCACCAGUCUUGUCAUCGGAGGGGAUCUGUGGCUGGGUUGGGGGCCAUGACCUGGUGUGUUUUACCUUUUUCUUGGCUGCGGCCAAUUUCCCCUGUUGUGUUUUUUCUGACAUCGCGGGGUGGGGAGGGAGGCGGGGUUGGGGCCACAUCAGCGAAAUACCAGUGAGUGCUGCUCAAUGCCUCCAGUCACCUACCAGGCAGCUGUGCAACUGAGCCACAGGUGGCGUAACCAGGGCACCAAUGGAACGCAGAAUAGGGGCGUGGCCUUAAUGCUCCAAGCCCAUUGGUCAGUGAGAAAGAUGAAAG
rnacentral:lncRNA from 1 species